UUCGGGAGGCAGCAGUGGGGAAUAUUGGACAAUGGGCGCAAGCCUGAUCCAGCCAUGCCGCGUGUGUGAAGAAGGCCUUAGGGUUGUAAAGCACUUUCAGUGGGGAGAAAGGUCAUUCACCUAAUACGUGAGUGAAUUGAUGUUACCCACAGAAGAAGCACCGGCUAACUCCGUGCCAGCAGCCGCGGUAAU
rnacentral:rRNA from 1 species